rnacentral:rRNA from 1 species
GUGAGGAAUAUUGCGCAAUGGAGGCAACUCUGACGCAGCCAUGCCGCGUGCAGGAAGAAGGCGCUACGCGUUGUAAACUGCUUUUAACCGGGAAGAAACCCCAGGACGUGUCCUGGGUUGACAGUACCGGAGGAAUAAGCACCGGCUAACUUCGUGCCAGCAGCCGCGGUAAUACGAAGGGUGCAAGCGUUAUCCGGAUUCAUUGGGUUUAAAGGGUGCGUAGGCGGAGCGUUAAGUCAGUGGUGAAAUCCUGCAGCUUAACUGUAGACUUGCCAUUGAUACUGGCGCUCUUGAGUGCGCUUGAAGUGGGCGGAAUGUGCCGUGUAGCGGUGAAAUGCUUAGAUAUGGCACAGAACACCAAUUGCGAAGGCAGCUCACUAAGGCGAUACUGACGCUGAGGCACGAAAGCGUGGGGAUCGAACAGGAUUAGAAACCCGUGUAGUCC